AAGUCGUAACAAGGUAACCGUAGGUGAACCUGCGGUUGGAUCAUUACUGAUUUUUGAGGGAGUCAAGGUUUGAUGCUCUAUUAUUGAGCUCACCUUUUCUUUACCUCUUUCACACUAUGUGCAAUUUGAUGUUUUUUGGGUUUAUGUUUUUCAUAAGCCCAGCUUCAUAUUAAACCAUUGUUUUUCUUAUGUCUGAAUAUCGUAAAUUAAAAAUCGAUAACAACUUUUGACAACGGAUCUCUUGGCUCUC
rnacentral:misc_RNA from 1 species